UCAAGCUACUAAGGGUGUGCGGUGGAUGCCUAGGCGUUAAGAGGCGAAGAAGGACGUGGUAGGCUGCGAUAAGCCCCGGGGAGCUGUCAAACGAGCUUUGAUCCGGGGAUUUCCGAAUGGGGCAACCCACCGACAGCGGGCAACCGUCUGUCGGUAUCGGCGGGUGAAUGUAUAGUCCGUCGAAGCGAACGCAGGGAACUGAAACAUCUCAGUACCUGUAGGAGAAGAAAUCAACCGAGACUCCGUCAGUAGCGGCGAGCGAAGGCGGAUCAGCCCAAACCGUGGUGCUUGCACCGCGGGGUUGCGGACCCUCGAGGGGUUACAAAAGUCGUGUUAGUCGAACGAUCUGGAAAGGUCGAGCACAGAAGGUGACACUCCUGUAGACGAAAACACAGACUCCCCGUUGAGAGGGUAUCCAGAGUAGCGUCGGGCUCGUGGAACCCGGCGUGAAGCUGGGGGGACCACCCUCCAAGGCUAAGUACUCCUUAACGACCGAUAGUGCACAAGUAGGGUGACUGAAAGGUGAAAAGAACCGCUACAAGCGGAGUCCAAAGAACCUGAAACCGCAUACUUACAAGCAGUGGGAGCACGAUGCCGCUUGCGGCGCGUGUGACCGCGUGCCUUUUGCAUAAUGAACCGGCGAGUCAAGGUGUGCAGCAAGGUUAACCCGUUCCGCGGGGUAGCCGAAGCGAAAGCGAGUCUGAACAGGGCGACUAGUUGCAUGCUUUGGACGCGAACCCAGUUGAUCUACCCAUGGCCAGGCUGAAGUGCCCUUAACCGGGCACGGAGGGCCGAACUCAUUAACGUUGAAAAGUUAUGGGAUGAGCUGUGGGGGGGAGUAAAAGUCUAAUCAAAACUGGAGAUAUCUCGUUCUCCCCGAAAUCGCUUUUGGGCUAGCCUCGGGGCAACUACAUCAUGGGGGUAGAGCUACUGAAUGAGACGAGGGGGCCACCAGCCUACCUCCCUCAACCAAACUCCGAAUACCAUGAUGACUAUCCCGGGAGUCAGUCUGCGGGGGCUAACCUUCGUGGACAAAAGGGAAACAACCCAGAUCGUCGGCUAAGGUCCCAAAUCCAUGCUAAGUGCGUAAGGAAGUCCUUUCUCUGAGACAGCGGGGAUGUUAGCUUAGAAGCAGCUACCAUUUAAAAAGUGCGUAAUAGCUUACCCGUCGAGAGAUUGGGCGCCGAUAAUGAACGGGACUAAGCAUGGAACCGAAGCCACGGGACUAGAAACUAGAAACUAGACACUGGCGACUAGAAAGGCAGGAGAUGCCUUUUCAUAACCUCGAGGUGUACCGCAAGGCGUACGAUCUGUCGCUUGUGGUACAUCGGCGCACACUUUCCUUUCCGAAGUUCGAGCAAUAUGAGCUUGCGUCGCAGUUGCGACGGUCUACCAAGUCCAUCGGCUCCAACAUCGCGGAGGGCAUGGGAAAGCAGUCGUCCCCGCAGGACGUCAUCCAUUAACCUGAGAGUUUCGCUCGGAUCCUGUGAUGAGACUCGAGUCUGGCUUGAAUAUAGCCGGGAUCUCGAUUACAUCCGGAUCGAGGAAUUCAAACAGUGGUGCGAUGGCUACUGUGAAGUGGGACGGAUGAUCAAUGGCUUAAUCGUCAGUUGGUCUUCCCGUCGCAAGUAAAUCUCAGUCUGGAUGCCGCCUUUUUGGAGGCGCUGCGGAAUGAGAAUGGCGUGCGAGUUCAGGUGUGUGGUCCGGGUUAUCUAGUUUCCAGUUUCCAGUUUCUAGUUUCUGGUCGGUAGGGGAGCGUUGAUAGGCAGAUACAGGCCAUACCGUAAGGAGUGGUGGCGGGCCUAUCAAGUGAUUAUGCCGGUUUGAGUAACGAUAAACAGGGUGAAAAUCCCUGUCGCCGUAAGCCCAAGGGUUCCUGGGGAAGGGAAAUCCGCCCAGGGUUAGUCGGAACCUAAGGCGAGGCCGAAAGGCGUAGUCGAUGGACAGCAGGUUAAUAUUCCUGCACUCCGUGGUGCGAUCAAACCGCCGUGCGCUUUUUCAAGAUGCAGCCCACGACAAGAGGCGAGGGUGCCCGCAAGGGCGAGGCCAAUUUGUUGUCGAAGUGCGUGGAGAAAGAGCCAAGAAAAGCGGCGGGGGCAAUCCGCGGAUCCGUACCAAAACUGACACAGGUGGGCGAGGCGAGUAGCCUCAGGCGCUCGAGAGAACGGUCCUUAAGGAACUAGGCAAUUUGACCCCGUAACUUCGGGAAAAGGGGUCCCUACCCCUUCGGGGGAGGGCACAGAGAAUCGGCUCUGGCGACUGUUUAUCAAAAACACAGGUCUCUGCCAACACGAAUAGUGGACGUAUAGAGACUGACGCCUGCUCGGUGUGGGAAUGUUAAGGAAGCCGGUCAGCCGCAAGGUGAAGCUGGCAACCGAAGCACCCAUAAACGGCGGCCCUAACUAUGAGGGUCCUAAGGUAGCGAAAUUCCUUGUCGGGUAAGUUCCGACGCGCAUGAAUGGCGUAACGACUGGAGCACUGUCUCAAGGACCGACUCGGUGAAAUAGUAGUCGUGGUGAAGAUACCACGUACCCGCGGCAAGACGGAAAGACCCCGUGAACCUUUACUGUAACCUGGUAUUGGCCGCAGGCUGCAAAUGCGUAGGAUAGGUGGGAGGCGAUGAUCCAGCCGUUCCGGCGGUUGGGAAGCCAACGUUGAAAUACCACCCUUUUGUUGCUUGUUUCCUCACCCUGCACCGUGAAUCCGGGCAGGGGACAGUGCUAGGCGGGCAGUUUGACUGGGGCGGUCUCCUCCCAAAGAGUAACGGAGGAGUGCAAAGGUCGGCUCAGCACGGUUGGCAAUCGUGCGUCGAGUGCAAAGGCACAAGCCGGCUUAACUGCGAGAUAUACCCAUCGAGCAGAUGCGAAAGCAGGCCUUAGUGAUCCGGUGGUCCUGUGUGGAAGGGCCAUCGCUCAUCGGAUAAAAGGUACUCCGGGGAUAACAGGCUAAUGACUCCCGAGCGUUCAUAGCGGCGGAGUCGUUUGGCACCUCGAUGUCGGCCCAUCGCAUCCUGGGGCUGAAGGCGGUCCCAAGGGUUCGGCUGUUCGCCGAUUAAAGCGGUACGCGAGCUGGGUUCAGACCGGCGCGAGCCAGGUCGGUCCCUAUCUGCCGUGGGCGUACGAGACUUGCGAGUAUGUCUCUUUAGUACGAGAGGAUUAAGAGGCACGUGCCUCUAGUGUACCAGCUGUCCCGCUCGGGGCAUCGCUGGGUAGCUACGCACGGAAAGGAUAACCGCUGAAUGCAUCUAAGUGGGAAGCCCCACUCAAGAUCAGGUCUCGGCAGCGCAAGCUGGAAGGCUCCUGGAAGACCACCAGGUCGAUAGGCGGGAGGUGUAAGCGUAGAGAUACGUUAAGCUGACCCGUACUAAUAGCCUAUCGCU
rnacentral:rRNA from 1 species